UUGGCCAGCACAUCAUGGAGUGGGUGGGAGGUAUUAUCCAGCAUUGUCUUUAUCUUGGACAACAUCCGCCUCUCAGACACCACCCUAUGUGGUCGGAUCCACAAUCCGUCUUUUACAGUGGUGCAGAAACCCAGGAUUGUGGCGUGGAGGAACCGCAACCAGGCCAGCCAGGGGAGGCGCUGGCCCAAAUGGUGGCCGAGCUCACGGCCACGCGGAGGAAGUAGGCGGUGGUGUUUCGCCACCAGUGGGAACAACGGCAGGACUGGACCGAGCCCUGGAUGCAGUGGAAAGAGCAUGGAAGGAAAAUGUCCAGAUUGAGAGGUGACUGUGUGGUGGUACCUAAGACUAAAUAUGCUGAGGAUUGCAUCAUUUUGAAUAUUUCCACAAUGAACCAACAAAAAUAUGUCAAGACUUCUGAACUGAGACUGAAUUCUUGAAUUCAGGUAAGAGGCAAACAGCUUGGCCAGUUAAUGACCCUUAGAAAUGC